rnacentral:rRNA from 1 species
CAGUCGCCGCGGUAAUACGAAGGGGGCUAGCGUUGCUCGGAAUUACUGGGCGUAAAGGGAGCGUAGGCGGACAUUUAAGUCAGGGGUGAAAUCCCAGAGCUCAACUCUGGAACUGCCUUUGAUACUGGGUGUCUUGAGUGUGAUAGAGGUAUGUGGAACUCCGAGUGUAGAGGUGAAAUUCGUAGAUAUUCGGAAGAACACCAGUGGCGAAGGCGACAUACUGGAUCAUUACUGACGCUGAGGCUCGAAAGCGUGGGGAGCAAACAGGAUUAGAUACCCCAGUAGUCCCUGUCUCUUAUAC